CAAAACAGAUCUGAUUUUCAAGUUCAAGGCUCUUACUAUCGAUUUGUUUUUAAUUCUGACUCACUCUCUCUGGACCUAACCUGCUUUAAAGAUUCACAUGAGUUCUCAGGAUGGAUGAUAUCACCAAAUGAUGAAGAAAUUCCAGAUACUAUAUCACUGGAAAAAAUUGACACUGCUGAAUUAAAUGAAGGGAGUGCUAAGGUUCUAAAAAAAGCAUUUCCCUCAAUCAGUUUGAAUGUUUACAUUUUUGAUGAAACAGCUGCUGCUGAUGAAAUAAAUGAAUCAUUUAAAAUUGGAGGAACAAACUUAAGCAUUAAUAUUAAGCAACACAAAGAACAGCCUUGAUU